UACGUAGGGGGCAAGCGUUGUCCGGAUUUAUUGGGCGUAAAGAGCUCGUAGGCGGUUUGGUAAGUCUGGUGUGAAAUCUCCACGCUCAACGUGGAGGGGCCACCCGAUACUGCCAUGACUGGAGUCCGGUAGAGGAGUGUGGAAUUCCUGGUGUAGCGGUGAAAUGCGCAGAUAUCAGGAGGAGCACCGGUGGCGAAGGCGGAUCUCUGGGCCUUGCCUGACGCUGAGGCGCGAAAGCUAGGGGAGCGAACAGG
rnacentral:rRNA from 1 species